rnacentral:rRNA from 1 species
CACACUAUCAUUAACUGAAUCCAUAGGUUAAUGAGGCGAACCGGGGGAACUGAAACAUCUAAGUACCCCGAGGAAAAGAAAUCAACCGAGAUUCCCCCAGUAGCGGCGAGCGAACGGGGAGGAGCCCAGAGCCUGAAUCAGUGUGUGUGUUAGUGGAAGCGUCUGGAAAGGCGCGCGAUACAGGGUGACAGCCCCGUACACAAAAAUGCACAUAUUGUGAGCUCGAUGAGUAGGGCGGGACACGUGGUA